GACGAACGCUGGCGGCGCGCCUAACACAUGCAAGUCGAACGGAGAUAUUUCGUCAGAAGUUUCGGAUGGACGAUGGGAUAUCUUAGUGGCGAACGGGUGAGUAACACGUGAGCAACCUGCCUUUCAGAGGGGGACAACAUUUGGAAACGAAUGCUAAUACCGCAUAAGACCACAGUGCCGCAUGGCAGAGGGGUCAAAGGAGCAAUCCGCUGAAAGAUGGGCUCGCGUCCGAUUAGGUAGUUGGUGAGGUAACGGCCCACCAAGCCGACGAUCGGUAGCCGGACUGAGAGGUUGAACGGCCACAUUGGGACUGAGACACGGCCCAGACUCCUACGGGAGGCAGCAGUGGGGAAUAUUGCACAAUGGGGGAAACCCUGAUGCAGCGACGCCGCGUGGAGGAAGAAGGUCUUCGGAUUGUAAACUCCUGUCCGAGGGGACGAUAAUGACGGUACCCUUGGAGGAAGCACCGGCUAACUACGUGCCAGCAGCCGCGGUAAAACGUAGGGUGCAAGCGUUGUC
rnacentral:rRNA from 1 species